rnacentral:rRNA from 1 species
UUAGAUACCCUAUUAUACUAAAAAAAAAGUGGAUUACUAUGAGAUAUGUUCUUUAAAUUUGAAGAGUUUGGCGGUAAUUUAGUCUUGUUAGAGGAACCUGUAUUUAGUUGAUCGAUAAACCACGUAAAAAUUUUACUUUCUUUUAUAAAUAGUAGUUUAUAUACCGUCAUUAGUAGAUAAUUUAUAAAAAAAUUUUUAUAAUUCAUGUAAUAUGAGUUAAAUUAGAUCAAGGUGUAGCUUAUAAGAAAGUUAAAUAUGGGUUACAAUAAAUUUUAUUUAUGAUGGAUUUAUUGAAGAAUAAAAAUAAUGAAAUAGGAUUUAAUUGUAUUUUAAGUUUAAUAUGUUUGGAAGAUAUAAGAACUAAAUUAUGUACAUAUCGCCCGUCGCU